rnacentral:lncRNA from 1 species
AAUGCUGAUAUUUAGAGAAACUGCGUUAUUUUUAAUUUCCUUCAGUUUACUCAACAUUUGAAAUAUCGUAAUAUAAUCAAUUUUUUCUCUCUUUUUUUUGUUUCUUUUAGAUUGAAGUGUGGAAAACUUUUGGAGCCAUAGAAAAGAAAGAAUUUAAAACGCUUCCCGCUGCCAUUGACAAUAUUCAGAUUUAUACAGAGCUGACUUUGUCGGUAGAAGGUCCAAGUCAAGUUUGGAUUCAAAUCUUCCGUGGCAGUGGCGAGUUCGUCGUAUUUCAAGAUUUUCUGGGUGAUAAAUCGAAAAAUUCCCCAGACGAUAAGCCAGUAACCGGUGGUGAGAAUCAAGGAAUUGUGCUCAUGACGGGGAGAAUCAACGUUUGGGAGCGUGAAUCGAAACUCAGUAAUGUCCCGUCUAUUAACGAUUUUCAACAGACUCUGAACGGACACGAUUCAUACGGGCACUUCCUUGAUUUUCUGGAAUCAGUGGGUGGGACCCAAGCAAAAGCAAUAACGGACAUUCAUACCUGCUCAAAAGGAUUGUUGGGAAAAAUUAAAAUAAGCCGAGACUGGACCGUUUAUUUGGACAGAAUUAUAAACCUUAAUAUUAUGUGGAAUGCUCAAGCCACUGGACAGUUACCAAGACCUGCCUCGAUUCAAUCUAUUAAACUUGAUCCUGAGCAAGUGGACCGUCUAAUAACAGUUUCAGAUGUUGAAUUUUUCCUGAACACCAGCUGUUAACUGCCUGCAGUGAUUGGAGUUACGAUGAAUGGUUUCAAAACUAAUCCAGUGCCUAAAAUAGUCGAGAAAUUGGAUGAUGUACACGCAGAGAGACUAACUUGUACCAUAUGGAAACAGCACGUUUAAGGUAACAGCAUGUCUCCACCAAUCCACCAAAAAAGACAAUUGAAGAAAAUAUACGAGCCUGA